UGAUAAGUUGCCUCUUGCCCUUGAGGUUCAUCGAACCACUAAUUCAUAAAAUCUUUUAACAUUACGAUUCACAGACCAACGGAUGGAACCUUCUAGCACCUGAGAAUCGUAGACUAAUGGAAUCUUUUUAGAAUCUUUUUAUGAGCAGAGUCUUUCAUAACAGACCCUAUGGGAACUAUAGAAUCCUGGAGGAUAACAGAAUCUUAAAAAUCAUAGACUCUUCCUUUUAAAGGGUUGCAGUGGGGAUAAAAUGAGAUAUUAUGUGACCAACACAUAGACCAGUCCUGGAGUAUUGUAAAUGGUCCCUAAGUGUCAGCUGACCCAGGGAUGGGGUGAGCUGCAUGCCUCUAUUGUGAGGAACCUCAGGUCUGGAAAGAUGACAUCACUUCCUCAUGAGUGCAGUGAGGAGGAGGAGGAUUGAAUUGCCAGGAGGACUGAAAGAGUAAGACUUGUAGUGAGACAUGGCUGCUUGGAAUAAAGACUACAUUUCCCAGCCUCCUUUGCAUCUAGGGGAGCCAUGCGAUUCACGGGGCCAAUAGGAUAAAGCAGUAGUAUGAAGGUGAACUUGUCUCGCCUUGGACCAUGUGAACCAAGACAACAGCCCAGGAAAAACAGAGCAACAAGACAGAAGCAACCAGCCACUGGACUGUUUAUGUAUGAAUUAUUUUAUGAGGGACAAAUAAACUUUCUUGUUCAA